ensembl:lncRNA
ACCGAAGUGCCUUCUGGAUGACGCUUCACAGAAUCAAAUCCAGGCCAGAACAGGGCGUGUGACGUGACAUUCCAGGCUGAUUGUUAUGGUGUAGAUCUAAAACAUCCCCCCAAAGUCUCAUGUAUUCAGAGACGGGGCUUCUGGAAGGUGAUUGGGCCAUGAGGGUGUGAUAUUCAUCAGGCUAAUCCACUGGGGAAAAGUGAACUGGUGUUUGAUAUAAAUACGCACGGAGUUACUUGAACCCUAGCACCCCAUCAGGAUUUCCGCAGCAUUUACUUUCUGGAUACCGCUCUUUCUACAAAUGAACGAACAGGACCAAGAGGACAAGCAAGCCUGGGAGUGGGGGCAAUGUACAAUUCUGCACUGCCCACUGCCUCGACCCACAUGAUGAGAAAACCGAGGCACAGAGGGCCAGGGUACAAAGUCAGGCCACCUGGGUCCUGAGGGGCACUGUUAACCCCUGUCGAAAAGCAUCAGCCUGAGAAGAAGUUGCUCUUGAAUGCAAACUUUGUGAUUGCCAGAAUCAUCUAACAUGGUUUCUUGCCUAGUUCUCACUUCGGAAUUGGGUGUAUCAGCCAGUACAGGAG